ACCUUGAAGCUAGCCUAACCAUCGUGUAAACAUAACCUUAUCAAUUAUACCUACACCACUAUACUUAAAUUAAAACAUUUUAUACCUUUUAGUAUGGGUGACAGAACAAUAAA
rnacentral:rRNA from 1 species